UAAAAUAUAAAGAGUCGAACCUGCCCAGUGAUAUAUAUUUAACGGCCGCGGUACUCUGACCGUGCAAAGGUAGCAUAAUCAUUUGCCUUAUAAUUGAAGGCUUGUAUGAAUGGUUUAACGAGAACAAAGCUGUCUCUUUUUAAUUUUAUAAAACUUGAUUUUUAGGUGAAGAAGCCUAAAUAAAAUUGAAAGACAAGAAGACCCUAUCGAGCUUUAAAAACUUUUAUUAACAUANAAUGACUAAAAUAGAUCAGCUAUAGUAAAAGAUUUUAGUUGGGGCGACUAAGGAACAAAAAAGCUUCCAUUUUUAAGUUAAAGCAAAUUAGCCAUGAUCCAAAAUUUUUGAUUAAAAGAAUUAGUUACCGUAGGGAUAACAGCAUAAUCUUUUUUAAGAGCUCUUAUCGAAAAAAAGGUUUGUGACCUCGAUGUUGGACUAGAAUAUCCUAAAUGAUGCAGAAGUCUUUAAAGGUUGGUCUGUUCGACC
rnacentral:rRNA from 1 species